rnacentral:rRNA from 1 species
CAGCAGUAGGGAAAUUGGGCAAUGGACGCAAGUCUGACCCAGCCAUCCCGCGUGCAGGAAGAAUGCCCUAUGGGUUGUAAACUGCUUUUGUUUGGGAAGAAAUGUGUUUUUUCAAGAGCAUUUGACGGUACCAGACGAAUAAGCACCGGCUAACUCCGUGCCAGCAGCCGCGGUAAUACGGAGGGUGCAAGCGUUAUCCGGAAUCACUGGGUUUAAAGGGUGCGUAGGCGGCCAAAUAAGUCAGAGGUGAAAGUUUCCGGCUCAACCGGAAGAUUGCCUUUGAAACUGUAUGGCUUGAAUCAGAUUGAGGUUGGCGGAAUGGCAUGUAGCGGUGAAAUGCAUAGAUUUGUCAUAGAACAUCGACUUGCGAAGGCAGCGGCUGGAUCUGUAUUGACGCUGAGGCCCCGAAAGCGUGGGGGGGCAAACAGGAUUAGAUACCCCUGGUAGUCCCACGCCCUAAACGAUGUUUAAC